rnacentral:tRNA from 1 species
GGGCGGAUGGUUUAGUGGUAUAAUUUUCCCUUAGCAUAGCGCAACCUCCGAGUUGCCGACCGCCUGGGAAAGGUCCGGGGUUCGAUUCCCCGUUCGUCCA